AACGCACGAGACCUGCGGACCUGCGGAAGGAUCAUUACAGAGUUCAUGCCCUCUCGGGCAGAUCUCCUACCCACUGUAAUCGUUACCGUGUUGCUUUGGCAGGCCGCUGGGCAACAAGCCUGGCCGCCGGCUCCGGCUGGCGCGCGCCUGCCAGAGGUUCUCUAAACUCUAAGUAUCGUGUCGUCUGAGUACUAUGUAAUAGUUAAAACUUUUAACAAUGGAUCUCUAGAUCGGAAGAGC
rnacentral:misc_RNA from 1 species